rnacentral:misc_RNA from 1 species
GAAGGCUGUGUGUCUCAAAUUCGUUGCAAUGCCAGAAAAUCUGAGAGGUUAGCAGCUUCUUCAAAACACUAAGUGCAUUACCAUUGCAUAAGAGAUAAGAAUGCAAAUAUGUAUUUGAUGCCUGAUUAUUUUACAUGGUAAUCUGUGUGAGGUUGGACUUUUGCUUUUUUAAAAUGACUUUAAUAUUUUUAAAAUUAUUGUUUCCAGUUCUAUUUGAUCGAUGGCUCUUGGCUAAUUUUCCCAGAAUUAUAGAACCUAUUCCUCAUUGCAAUUUGCAAGCAUGCAACCAUGAACAAUUAAUCUCAAUCAAUCACUCAAAUCCUCAAUUUUCAAAAUCCAAAAUCCUCAAUAUUCAAAAUUCAGUUAACAAUAUAAUAAACUUAAAAAUCAAACUGAAGAACAAUCACAUCAUCAUAGAAAUGCAAUUCCAUAGUCAGAAAAAACAACAACAAUAAUGCAUGAACCUAAGAACCUCAAUCAGUCAACUUUUGAGGCCUUGGCAAAAUCCUUGACAGUAACCUAGGAGUCGAGACUGGGUGUGGUUGAGGACUUGAGGCAGCUGGCAAUUUGCAAGGGAGACUGGAAAAGUGGAGAAACGUUGAGGAUUUCAGAAUCAAGAGAGGCAGAGAGCAAUUCUCAGCAACAACGACAAGGGAGUAGGGAGGAGGAAGGAUGUAGAUGAAAGAGGUUAGAUGUCACUUGAAUGCUGCUCCAUGCCACUGCUUCCAGAUUAAUGUCGACGUUUUCCAAGUUCCAAAGCACCCACUUGAUGUUGUCAAACUUUUGGUGUGUGAAGAUUGAAGAAUAAAAAAAAAAAAGAAGAAGGCGGCAGCAGCGGCAGAGGUCAUGUAAAAGUGAUGUUAAAGAGUGAGGGACAAAAAAAAAACUAGGUAUUGUGUACAUAUAUGAAGCGAAAUGAUUUAGUAUAUUAAAUUUCAGUUUGGUUUGGUUAAUUCAGUUUAUUGACUGUAUUAAGCAAACCGAACCAAAAAAUUGAAAUUUUCUUAAAAAUACUAACUGAGAUCAAACCUACCUAUCAAAUAACCGAAAUAAAAAAUCGAAAUCGAUUGGUUAAUUUUUGGUUUUCAGUUAAAAACCGAAAACUGUACGACCCUAAUCCGCAGGAUGAACAUUUUGCAACGUGUUUUUUAUAUUGAUCAAUAUGAUAUGGUCAUUUUUUUGCCCUUCUUCCUUUUUAAAAAGCAAAAUCUGAAAAAGAAAGUUGUUCUCAGUUAAUUAUGUUCAUAACGUGUGGUUUGAGCUGGAUUUGUUUUGGCUAAGAGUCCUGCAUCAUGUGAAAUUAACCAGCAGGCGGAAAGUAUCUUUAAUUGUUAGGAGGCAAUCCUGAAGCAAAUCAUUAUCUAUAUGGUUUUCUGUGAAGAUAGCUGAUGCU